UAUAUACGCCCUCCGUCCCAAAAUUCUUGUCUUAGAUUUGUCUAGAUACGGAUGUAUCUAAUACUAAAACGUGACUUGAUACAUCCGUAUCUAGACAAAUCUAAGACAAGAAUUUUGGGACGGAGGGAGUACUAU
rnacentral:pre_miRNA from 1 species